rnacentral:ncRNA from 1 species
AAUUAAAUAUCUCCGAGUCUAUUUUACCUAAAAAGUUUUUUCUUCAAGGGGAAUAGACCGCUAGGGUAUCACUGGAAACAGUUUUACCUCCCAUUGUGGAAAGGAGCCUUGUUGAAAACGAU